GACGUAGGUGGCGAACGUUAUCCGGAAUUAUUGGGCGUAAAGGGUGCGUAGAUGGCUUGAUAAGUUAGCAGUGGGAAAUCGAGGCUCAACCUCGUGGAAGCUGGUAAUACUGUUAGGCUCGAGUGCAGGAGAGGUUAACGGAACUCCAUGUGGAGCGGUAAAAUGUGUAGAUAUAUGGAAGAACACCAAUAACGGCGAAGGCAGUUAACUAUUCUGUUACUGACAUUGAGGCACGAAAGCGUGGGGAGCAAAACGG
rnacentral:rRNA from 1 species